rnacentral:rRNA from 1 species
UGGGGAAUAUUGCACAAUGGGCGCAAGCCUGAUGCAGCCAUGCCGCGUGUGUGAAGAAGGCAUUCGGGUUGUAAAGCACUUUCAGCGGGGAGGAAGGCGUUAAGGUUAAUAACCUUGGCGAUUGACGUUACCCGCAGAAGAAGCACCGGCUAACUCCGUGCCAGCAGCCGCGGUAAUACGGCGGGUGCAAGCGUUAAUCGGAAUUACUGGGCGUAAAGCGCACGCAGGCGGUCUGUCAAGUCGGAUGUGAAAUCCCCGGGCUCAACCUGGGAACUGCAUUCGAAACUGGCAGGCUAGAGUCUUGUAGAGGGAGGUAGAAUUCCAGGUGGAGCUGUGAAAUGCGUAGAGAUCUGGAGGGAUACCGGUGGCGAAGGCGGCCCCCUGGACAAAGACUGACGCUCGGGUGCGAAAGCGUGGGGAGCAAACAGG